UGGGGUGCGCUGGACCCCGUGUGUCCUCAACGUUAUUUUUUCGAUGUGUGUCCUCAACGGGUUAAGCCCUCAACUAUUUA